GGAUAACUUACCCUUAGGACUGGGAUAACUCUGGGAAACUGGGGAUAAUACCGGAUAUUAGGCUAUGCCUGGAAUGGUUUGCCUUUGAAAUGUUUUUUCGCCUAAGGAUAGAUCUGCGGCUGAUUAGGUCGUUGGUGGGGUAAUGGCCCACCAAGCCGAUGAUCGGUACGGGUUGUGAGAGCAAGAGCCCGGAGAUGGAACCUGAGACAAGGUUCCAGACCCUACGGGGUGCAGCAGGCGCGAAACCUCCGCAAUGUACGAAAGUGCGACGGGGGGAUCCCAAGUGUUAUGCUUUUUUGUAUGACUUUUCAUUAGUGUAAAAAGCUUUUAGAAUAAGAGCUGGGCAAGACCGGUGCCAGCCGCCGCGGUAACACCGGCAGCUCGAGUGGUAGCUGUUUUUAUUGGGCCUAAAGCGUUCGUAGCCGGUUUGAUAAGUCUUUGGUGAAAGCUUGUAGCUUAACUAUAAGAAUUGCUGGAGAUACUAUUAGACUUGAAGUCGGGAGAGGUUAGAGGUACUACCGGGGUAGGGGUGAAAUUCUAUAAUCCUGGGAGGACCACCUGUGGCGAAGGCGUCUAACUGGAACGAUCUUGACGGUGAGUAACGAAAGCCAGGGGCGCGAACCGGAUUAGAUACCCGGGUAGUCCUGGCCGUAAACGAUGUGGACUUGGUGUUGGAAUGGCUUUGAGUUG
rnacentral:rRNA from 1 species